AAGAAAUUUAGUAUAUAACUCGCAGAAACAACAAAAGGAUUUCUUUUCUGUACGUAUUUAUAAGUAUGGAAGAAACAAUCAGUCCUUAUACUUUUAGCGGAUUCUUAGAAAAUCUUUAUUCUACUGAUCACGGCGAAAUCAUCAUGACUCUUUCUGUGUCCAAGUGCAACUUCAAACCAGAGAAGCCGUUAGAUGAGAGGCAAGCAAUCAUUAACCGGGUUAGAGAGAAGAAUCCAGACAAAAUUCCAGUAAGCAAAAAAUUGUAAUUUUC